CAGUCACCAUAUUGGCAGGAAGCCCAGGACACACGGGAACCUCCUGGUGGAUAUGUUGGUCCUUGGCUCCACCUAGGCCCCGCUGAUGCAGCACCAACCACCAGAAGAGUUUCUUUCCUCGGACACUUCUGCUUGUUCAUUCUAGAAUCUGCGAUAGGUGUUAUGCCAUCCAGCACAAAUCCUCAGUUAUGCAUUCAGCUUUAAUAAAUAAGUAUUUCCACA